GGAGGGGUGGCAGAGUGGUCGAUUGCGCUGGUCUUGAAAACCAGUGUCGGGAAACCGACCGCGGGUUCGAAUCCCGCCCCCUCCG
rnacentral:tRNA from 1 species